CAUAAAGUCCAGACUGAAGUCCAGCCUGAGAGUAUGAGAAUUGUGUGGGUGUUUCCAGGAUAUAAGACUAUGAUUUGAAGAUGUUGCAUUGGAGGAGACCAGGAGGGACAGAAGUGCCAUUAUUCAGGUUUUAUAAGAAGCAAACUGGAAACCAAACAAAAGUGAAAAACAAAACAAGUAAUUGAAAAUGGAAGGUUCUACAUUUCAGGACGGAUUAUGAAGCAGAUACAGCUCUCCACUGCAGGAAAAAAAGUUUCUCAGUACUGGCUCAUUAGAGCAGCUUUGGGGAUGGAAGUGAUAUGGAAUGUCGCAUGGAUCAAACAGUGGCAGAAUGGAACAGUCAAAUGAGAGCUAAGAACAAGACCUGAAGUCAGGAGAUAUGAAUUAAUUUCCCAGUUCUGCCAUCAGCUUACUUUGCCCGGCUAUAAAAUGAAGAAUAAAUACGUAUAUACCAAGGCUCUCUAAAGGUAAAUUCAACUGUAUCCAUACCCGCAAAAGAAAAGUAUAUAUAGAAAAUACUUAACUAGAAAUAUGCAAAAUAUUGGACAAGUGACAUUGUCAUCUGUGUGGCUUUUCAGAUUCCUUUUAUUUAAAAUAACGUGUGAGAGGAAAACAUAGCUAUUUAAGGAAGAAAAUAAAUCUGCCAAUCUUGUAUUGAUGAAAGAUCAACUCCUCCUUUUGUGGAAAGUAUGCUGCCUUUAGGAUGGGCAAUUUGAUGAUGCCAAUCAAGCAACUGGGGUCCACUAAUUGACUUUUCAGAAGAUAUAUGAUGAAUGCUUGUACUUAUUUGGUAGUCAGUUUGGAAAUAUAAACCUCAGAUGCUAUAAAAAAGCUGGACUUGUGGCUAAGAAAAAAUGAUCAAAAUAUGAGGGGAGGAUAGGAAGUUCACACAACAUGCACAAUAAGCAUGUUUUCUUAAAGCCACAAGAGUUUUUUUUUUUUUAAAUGUGUUUUCUAGCAUUGUCAGCUAGGAAAAAAAAAUCCAAAUUCCCCCUAUACUCAACUCUUAUUUAGUGAUGUUAUACACACAAAUAUGUUGGAAAUAUAUUGGGAAAAUUACUAAUAGAUUUUAAAAUUACAGUUGUAGGGAGACAUUUAAAUAUUGCAAUUUUAUAGGUUUAUUUUACACAACAGCUUUACAAGAUGCCCAUAUGACCUUUAAAAUCUCUGAUUAAGUUUUCCCAACUGUAAAUGGUUAAAGUUUCAGAAAGACUGAUGCUUUUAACAUAUAAAUCAUUCCUCAGAACCUGUGAUGUUAGUAGAUUUGUUGUUGUUAAUAUUUUUCUUUCCAAUAUUUGGACAAAAUAGAUACUUUAGGUACAGGAUUUUAUAAUAUAUUUAAGGUUUUUUUUUAUUAUUAUUAUUUGCCUCAGUAUAUUGCUCCAAACCUAAUUUCUAGAUGCAGGGCUAUAAUGUCUGUUAAGAGAUCAUGGGAAUAAUUUCCACAGGACUUCUAGUACUUUAAAAUUUACUAUUACCUGGACAAAUAUUAUAACUAAAUGCACUGUGAGACCUAUAGGAAUUUUUUAAAGGCAAACAACUUGUAAAAGCAGUUGGAUCUUUUUAUUUAUGUAUUUGAAAAAGACCAUAAAAAAUGCUGAGUUCUAGAAUUAUUUAAUAUUAAAAUACAUAUACACAACUGGUAGAAGAGACAACUGUGUGAAAUCAGUGAACCAGCUCAACAUGUAUUAAAGAACUAGUGUUGGGCUUUAUACUUUGUACAUAUUUAUGCUACACUGGAAUCUUAAGCAUGGGUUUUUAUUUUUCUUCUCCAAAGAUCAGCAAAAUCCUAUCAAUCUUAACUCCUUAACAUGGGUAGCUUCAUAAUAGCACAUUCUUAUAAAGUGAAAUACUUAUUGCUUAGCUUCUCUAAUCUUUUACUCGUCAUAAAACACUCAGCAUAAAACGUUGAAGAGUUCAGCUUAUUAAUGAAAGUCCAAGAUUGUGACCUUUUUUAAUAGUCCUGCAAGGGGGAUACAACGUAUUCACAUAACCCCCCAGGAGUAUAUAAUUCUGGUGAGUUGGAAAAUGAAGCCAAGGUGCUGCCUCAUUGCCCUUCUAAACGCUUUUUGGGAUAGUGUAUGUUUCUAAAAAAUUAAGAUGCAGAGUUCUUUUUCUAGAUCACAGAGGCCGCGUCUAUGUCAGAUGCUGACUCUGCAGUUAUUACUGCACAGUCAUUUAGUACUUGCAUACACAGGAACAGCAUUUAGCUGAUGUUGGAAGAUGCUGAAUAACCGAACAGCUUUUAGGUGGCACUGACUGCACAGUAGCAUUGUGUUACGCUUCAUGACAUGCAAUGCUACUGUGCAGUCAGUGUGUUGUGUAGACAUGACCAGGGUACCCAUAUCUGGUUGUCCUUAUGUGAAAAGUAACGACUCAGGGAAAGAUUCUAUCAGCAUUUUUCCUGUCUUUCUUCUCCCUACCCGUUAUAGAUGAGAAGGGCCAUAUGAUUUUUUUUUUUUUUUUUAACACACAACUUUUUUUAGUGGAAAACACAGAUUCAGUCACAACGAAGGAAAAAUCUGCUGUGUAUUUAUGUAAAUUUACCAACUUUGUUUAUUGAGGGGAAAAAAAGAAAAAUAAUAAAAAAUUCCAAAAUUAAAA